AAUAUUUUAAAAAAUGCAUUAAUAACAAACAUGAAAAUUAAUAAUAAAGUGAUAAAAAAUUGUAUUUUUGUGAUUUUUUAUGAUUUAAAGAUAAAAUAGAAAAUUUAGAAGUAAAGAAAAACAAAUAAAAGGAAAAAGACACUAAAAAUGAGAAGGUGGGAUUUGAAUUCAUGACUUUGCCCUCUGUAACUCCAUGUACUCCUUUUGAAACCAACUAGGUUUUUCCAA
rnacentral:lncRNA from 1 species